rnacentral:ncRNA from 1 species
GGUAAGACGCGCGGGAGCCCGGCGGACCGGGCUGAGAGGAGAGCGUGAGGCUCUCGACCGCCCCGACCUGAUCCGGGUAAUGCCGGCGAAGGGAGCGCUGUGUCCCGCACA